rnacentral:rRNA from 1 species
GACGAACCGUGCGAACGUUAUUCGGAAUCACUGGGCUUAAAGCGCGUGUAGGCGGAUGGGAACGUCGGUCGUUGAAAGCCCCCGGCUCAACCGGGGAACCGGCGCCGAAACGACCCGUCUGGAGGGACGUAGGGGGACCUGGAACUUCCGGUGGAGCGGUGAAAUGCGUUGAGAUCGGAAGGAACGCCCGUGGCGAAAGCGAGGUCCUGGACGUCUACUGACGCUGAGGGAGCGAAAGCCAGGGGAGCAAACGGG